CCCUUAGAUGUCCUGGGCCGCACGCGCGUUACACUGAUGCAUUCAACGAGCAUAUAACCUUGGCCGAGAGGCCUGGGUAAUCUUGUUAACAUGCAUCGUGAUAGGGAUAGAUUAUUGCAAUUAUUAAUCUUGAACGAGGAAUUCCUAGUAAUCGCAGUUCAUCAAACUGCAAUGAUUACGUCCCUGCCCUUUGUACACACCGCCCGUCGCUCCUACCGAUUGAAUGAUCCGAUGAAUAUCGUGGAUUGAGGAUGCAAGUAGGUUCGCCUAUCUUCAUCUUCGAGAAGUGAAGUAAAUCUUAUCAUUUAGAGGAAGGAGAAGUCGUAACA
rnacentral:rRNA from 1 species